UACAGAGGUCUCAAGCGUUGUUCGGAUUCAUUGGGCGUAAAGGGUGCGUAGGUGGCGCCGUAAGUCGGGUGUGAAAUUUCGGAGCUUAACUCCGAAACUGCAUUCGAUACUGCGGUGCUUGAGGACUGGAGAGGAGACUGGAAUUCAUGGUGUAGCAGUGAAAUGCGUAGAGAUCAUGAGGAAGACCAGUGGCGAAGGCGGGUCUCUGGACAGUUCCUGACACUGAGGCAUGAAGGCCAGGGGAGCAAACGGG
rnacentral:rRNA from 1 species